UCUCUCUGAUGUCUCAGUAGAUCAUCCUUACCAUUCACUUUGUGUGCUCAGUAGAAUAGAUUGGAAGAGACCUAUGGCUGAGAGA